AUUGCUUCUUGGCCUUUUGGCUAAGAUCAAGUGUAAAAUUGAACAAUAAAUAUUUUAAACUAUUUAUGAGAAUGGGAAACAUGACCCCCC
ensembl:snRNA U2 U2 spliceosomal RNA